rnacentral:tRNA from 1 species
GGGGGUGUAGUUCAGCUGGUUGGAAUGCCUGCCUGUCACGCAGGAGGUCGCGGGUUCGAGUCCCGUCGCUCCCG